UACGUAGGGUGCGAGCGUUGUCCGGAAUUAUUGGGCGUAAAGGGCUCGUAGGCGGUUUGUCGCGUCGGGAGUGAAAACCUUGGGCUUAACUCAGGGCUUGCUUUCGAUACGGGCAGACUAGAGGUAUGCAGGGGAGAACGGAAUUCCUGGUGUAGCGGUGAAAUGCGCAGAUAUCAGGAGGAACACCUGCGGCGAAGGCGGGUUGCUGGGCCGACACUGACGCUGAUGCGCGAAAGCCAGGGGAGCGAACGGG
rnacentral:rRNA from 1 species